GGACAGCCAUCGCCGAGUCCCCGUCAGGCGCGAGCCUGGGGAGCCGGGGACCCAGUCUCGUGUCCCUGGGGUGAAUCGGGAGCCUUCGCGUGAUCCGCGGAGGAACCCGUAGGAGACCUUCCUGCUCCGAACCCGUCAGCUAACCCGGUAGGCGAGAAGGAAGGAAAGG
rnacentral:sRNA from 2 species